CGGAUUAGAUACCCGGGUAGUCCCAGCUGUAAACGAUGCAGACUCGGUGAUGCAUUGGCUUGUGGCCAAUGCAGUGCCGCAGGGAAGCCGUUAAGUCUGCCGCCUGGGAAGUACGUACGCAAGUAUGAAACUUAAAGGAAUUGGCGGGGGAGCACCACAAGGGGUGAAGCCUGCGGUUCAAUUGGAGUCAACGCCAGAAAUCUUACCUGGGGCGACAGCAGAAUGAAGGUCAAGCUGAAGACUUUACCAGACAAGCUGAGAGGUGGUGCAUGGCCGUCGCCAGCUCGUGCCGUGAGAUGUCCUGUUAAGUCAGGUAACGAGCGAGACCCCUGCGUCUAGUUGCUACCAUUACUCUCUGGAGUAGUGGAGCGAAUUAGACGGGCCGCCGCAGUUAAUGCGGAGGAAGGAAGGGGCCACGGCAGGUCAGUAUGCCCCGAAACCCUAGGGCUACACGCGGGCUGCAAUGGUAUUGACAAUGUGUUCCGAAUCCGAAAGGAGGAGGCAAUCAUCAAACGAUACCUCAGUUAUGACUGAGGGCUGUAACUCGCCCUCACGAAUAUGGAAUCCCUAGUAACUGCGCGUCACUACCGCGCGGUGAAUACGUCCCUGCUCCUUGCACACACCGCCCGUCGUUUCAUCGAAGUUGGCCUUUAGUGAGGUAGUGUCUACUUGGCAUUAUCGAGCUUGAGGUCAGUGACGAGGGAAAAGUCGUAACAAG
rnacentral:rRNA from 1 species